CUGUGGUUGCUUUCUCUCAUUCAUCUUAUCUUCUUUAUCUCUCCAACUACUCGUUUCUGGUGGUCGCCGCCAAUGUGGCGAGCUCGUCACCAUGGCCGCCGGCGACUCGAUGCGCCUCGUGUGCAUCGAUGGCGCGGGAUGCACCCCCUCUCCAUGGCCGCUCACAGCCACGGGCGCACUCGUCUCCUUGUCCGCCUCCGCCAGGAGCUGGAUGUGCGCCCUCUCCAUGGCCGCCAAAGCCAGGGUGUGCCAGUCGCCAUGGCCAAGCUGCAACCGGCCACGGGGGCGGCGAGUUCGUGCUGGAACCGAGGGGAUUUGCUAGAACCAGCUGUUGUACAUGCUACAAGGUCGAUGCCUCGCCGGAGGAAGCUACAUCCAGCGGUGAAGAGUGUUGCAUCCAACGCCAUUCGAUGUCGGGAGCUGCAAGCGUGCACGUCGGAGCUGCGACCGGCUACUAGUGGAGCUGCAAGAGGGGAGGCCAUUUUUUGUGGAUGUGUUCUCGUUUUGCCGAACCAAUUAUGCUUUUGCUGGAACCGAUGUAUUUUUUUACUGGAACCGAGAUAAUUUUUUGCUUCAACUAUUGCACAGCUCUUAAAUGCUCAUGUCGUUUUUUGCUGGGACCUAAGUUUGUUUGUGCCGGAAGCAUUUCUGAUUUUGCUUCAACUGACCACUCUACUUUGACCCGCGGAGAAAAAUUUUGCUGCUUCCAAUUUUUGCUGCUUGGCACUCUGACCCCGGCGGGCGGGAGACGCAGAGAUGCUACAACUAGCCACCCGAGCGCUAUUAUCACUGAAAGCUGAAUCUAGCAAUUUGUUCUGUAAUCAUCAUCUUUUUUUAACUGAAAACAGCUCCAAUUUUUGCUUUCA